rnacentral:rRNA from 1 species
CACGUAGGGGGCGAGCGUUGUCCGGAUUUAUUGGGCGUAAAGAGCUCGUAGGCGGUUUCGUUAGUCGGGUGUGAAAACCCCAGGCUCAACCUCGGGCCUGCAGUCGAUACGGGCAAACUAGAGUACUGCAGGGGAGACUGGAAUUCCUGGUGUAGCGGUGAAAUGCGCAGAUAUCAGGAGGAACACCGGUGGCGAAGGCGGGUCUCUGGGCAGUAACUGACGCUGAGGAGCGAAAGCGUGGGGAGCGAACAGG